CCUACGGGAGGCAGCAGUAGGGAAUAUUGGGCAAUGGUCGCAAGACUGACCCAGCCAUGCCGCGUGCAGGAAGACGGCCCUCUGGGUUGUAAACUGCUUUUAUCUGGGAAGAAAAAGUCCAUGCGUGGAAAGUUGCCGGCACCAGAUGAGUAAGCACCGGCUAACUCCGUGCCAGCAGCCGCGGUAAUA
rnacentral:rRNA from 1 species